rnacentral:rRNA from 1 species
CAUGGAGUUUGAUCCUGGCUCAGGACGAACGCUGGCGGCGUGCUUAACACAUGCAAGUCGAGCGAUGAAGCUCCUUCGGGAGUGGAUUAGCGGCGGACGGGUGAGUAACACGUGGGUAACCUGCCUCAUAGAGGGGAAUAGCCUUCCGAAAGGAAGAUUAAUACCGCAUAAGAUUGUAGUUUUCGCAUGAAACAGCAAUUAAAGGAGUAAUCCGCUAUGAGAUGGACCCGCGUCGCAUUAGCUAGUUGGUGAGGUAACGGCUCACCAAGGCGACGAUGCGUAGCCGACCUGAGAGGGUGAUCGGCCACAUUGGGGACUGAGACACGGGCCCAGACUCCGUACGGGAGCAGCAGUGGGGAAUAUGCACAAUGGGGGAAACCCCUGAUGCAGCAACGCCGCGUGAGUGAUGACGGUCUUCGGAUUGUAAACUGC